GGCCGUGGCCGUGCCGCCCCGAAUUACGGCUCGCACUGCGAGAGCCCGCAGCACGCCGAGAGGGAAAACUUUUCGAGGAGCUCUCGAGCUGCUGUAUCGCACAAAACACACACCAGACCCGGUCUACUUAUUCAAGCAAAGAUCCGAUUUCCUUAUUCAAGCAAAAGUAGAACUUCCCGGUGCUUUGGCAGUUGAGCAGCAGAGGACGCUGAGCGGUGCAAAUGCCCGUCAGGUGAACAAAGUAUCUGACAACAGAGGUGUGACCUGUGUCAAAACCAUAAACGCUGUCUUAAAAGUCACAACAUCCUGGAUUUCUUAUGCUGUGCUUCGUCAUAGCAACAUGAGAGUGAUUCUUCUGACCAGCAAGGGAAAUAAUUUGCAGCCUUGAAAGUGAUUUUGCAAAUGCUGGGUUCAUCUCCAUUUUUGCUACCUGGUGUGUGUUCUCUGUCUCCUGAUGUUGUUUCUCUUAAUUUUUGCUUCCUUUUUUUUUUUUUUUUUGUACCUACUCUGUGUGCUGCAGAUGAAAAACAGAGGUGACCAUCUCCAUGUCCACAAUAGUAGGGGAGUGUGUAGCUGCUUUGAAAUGCUUCUUCUGUGGCCUGUCCUCUAUGUCGUUAUGGCAGUGACUUUUGCCUAAAAGGUUUAAUAAGAGCUUGAUGAGAAAGCUAUGCUCUCAAGAGCCGCAUGGUUAAACAGCUCUGGACAGAUGAGGAAGGUUCUUGAAGGAGGUUUAUACUGCAAUUUGCAGUGCUUGCCUGUUAGGAAUUGUUUCUGUGUGUGUGUGUGUGUUACUGCUGACAGACUUAUACUAAUAGAAAGUUCAGGAAUGAAAGAAAUCAGCAAGAAAAUGAGAAUUUGCACAUACUUGGCUUAAAUGUCCACCAGAGACACAAAGAGAUCAGGGUCCACUGUGAAGUGUUCAUUGAAUGACUCAAAGAUUUGAAAAUGUGUAGGAACUGUGGUGUUGGCUUCCUUACAUGAAGCAGAAAUAAACAUAAUUGUGUUCAUAUUAAUUAAUAAUUAGACAUAAAAAUUUAAAAGAAAAGCAGAAAUUAUUUUCCUGAAUGCUGAUCAUGCAGAUUUUUGUUACAAUCCGAAGUCAUCUGGGUCUCAGAAAUCCUUAAAUUUGAGAAAGAGUUGGUCCCAACAAAAUGAUGAUCACGUUGGUAUUUGCUUUGCUGUUCUUCUUGGCUGUUAUGUUUUGUUUUCUGGUUUGUUUCUGUAGGGGAGGGGGACAAGUCUGUUCCAUGUCAGGCUUAGUUUUAGCUUGUGUUGGGGCUCUUUUAUUUUCUGUUUGUGAAUUCCUUUUUAAAAUACACUGUGCUUAAAAUAUAUUGGUGUUCUGUUCCACA